rnacentral:rRNA from 1 species
CUUAAAACCCAAAGGAAUUGACGGUGUCCCACCCACCUAGAGGAGCCUGUCCCAUAAUCGAUUAUACCCGCUUUACCCUACCGCUUCUAUCCGAGUCAGUAUACCGCCGUCGUAAGUCUACCAUGUGAGUGAAAGUGGGCUAAAUAGCCUCCCCGCACAUACGUCAGGUCAGGGUGCAGCUUAUGGAGCGGAAGGCGAUGGGCUACAAUUUCUAACAUAGAACAUAACGGAAAACCUAAUGAAACCCAGAUAUUGAAGGUGGAUUUAGCAGUAAAAAGACAAUAGAGUCUUUUUAACAAGGCACUGGGACGUGU